UACACUCCUACGGGAGGCAGCAGUGGGGAAUAUUGGACAAUGGGCGCAAGCCUGAUCCAGCCAUGCCGCGUGAGUGAUGAAGGCCCUAGGGUUGUAAAGCUCUUUCACCGGUGAAGAUAAUGACGGUAACCGGAGAAGAAGCCCCGGCUAACUUCGUGCCAGCAGCCGCGGUAAUACGAAGGGGGCUAGCGUUGUUCGGAUUUACUGGGCGUAAAGCGCACGUAGGCGGACUAUUAAGUCAGGGGUGAAAUCCCGGGGCUCAACCCCGGAACUGCCUUUGAUACUGGUAGUCUUGAGUUCGAGAGAGGUGAGUGGAAUUCCGAGUGUAGAGGUGAAAUUCGUAGAUAUUCGGAGGAACACCAGUGGCGAAGGCGGCUCACUGGCUCGAUACUGACGCUGAGGUGCGAAAGCGUGGGGAGCAAACAGGAUUAGAAACCCUUGUAGUCCC
rnacentral:rRNA from 1 species